rnacentral:rRNA from 1 species
CCCAGCGCCGAAUCCCCGACCCUAGCGGUCGCGGGAAAUGUGGCGUUUAGGAGUGAGCGUGCCGGGACCGGACUCUGCAGCAAGUCCCCCUGACCGGGGCCUACCCAGAGCGGGUGCGAGGCCCAUAGCCGCCGAGUCCGUCUCGGAUGCGAUCUCCUGGGAGUCGGGUUGCUUGGGAGUGCAGCCCCAAUCGGGUGGUAAACUCCACCUAAGGCUAAAUACCGCCGUGAGACCGAUAGCAAACAAGUACCGUGAGGGAAAGUUGCAAAGAACUUUGAAGAGAGAGUUCAAGAGUACGUGAAACUGCUCAGAGGUAAACGGGUGGGCCCUCGAAAUCCUGUGGAGGGAGGAUUCAGUCUGGAGCGCGCGGUCGCGCUGGUCGGAAACCUAGGCAGGGCAUCCCGAGACCGGGGCCGUCCGACCGCGAACUUCCGCCUCGCCAGACGCAUUUGUCUCCCUCUCGAAGGACGCCGCAGCCGGUCGGGCAGCGAAAG